UGCCCAUUGGCGCAAUCGGCAGCGCGUUCGACUGUUAACAUGUCCGAAAGGCGGUUAAUCGAGAGGUUGCAAGUUCGAACCUUGCAUGGGCAG